GGCCUAACACAUGCAAGUCGAACGGCAGCAUGAGUAUGGGUAACCAUACUUGAUGGCGAGUGGCGGACGGGUGAGUAAUAUGUAGGAAUCUACCUAGAGGAGGGGGAUAACUUGGGGAAACCCAAGCUAAUACCACAUAAGCCCUACGGGGGAAAGCAGGGGACUGUUAAAGGCCUUGCGCCUUAUGAUGAGCCUACAUCGGAUUAGCUAGUUGGUGGGGUAAAGGCCUACCAAGGCGACGAUCCGUAGCUGGUCUGAGAGGAUGAUCAGCCACACUGGGACUGAGACACGGCCCAGACUCCUACGGGGGGCAGCAGUGGGGAAUAUUGGACAAUGGGGGCAACCCUGAUCCAGCAAUGCCGCGUGUGUGAAGAAGGCCUUAGGGUUGUAAAGCACUUUCAGUGGGGAGGAAGGGGCAUGAGUUAAUACCUUAUGUCAUUGACGUUACCC
rnacentral:rRNA from 1 species